UACAGUGACACCCUCACUUCCUAGUUACCUUAGUUACGAUGUCAGUGCCAUUCUUUGUUUACCAGUGGUUACAGUGGCACCCACUGGCACCAGUGUUGUUGUCGGGCACCGUGGAUGGCGAUGUGUGGAUGUGGAAGAUUCCUGACAGUGAUUGUAAGACGUUUCAGGGCCACAGCUGUACAGCAGGCGUGGGACGGAUCGGAUCCUACCUGAUGGGAAGCGUGUAUGUGUUGGAUACGAUGAUGGUGCCAUCAAGGUUUGGAACAUGAAAACAGCUGACAUGAUGAAGACCAUAUCAGGUCGAGACGGUCACUCCUCAACAGUGGUGUGUAUGGAUUGUCACCAUGACAACUCGAUGGUAAUGACAGGGUCAACUGAUGUCACGGCCAAGAUCUUAACACCAGGACGGGGAAGGUUCUGUCAACAGUUAAAUGUGAGUCAAUGAAGGAAGGAGAAAACUCUGUAGAUGCCUGUGGUUUUUGUAGACAACAGACAUGGGCAGCCACUGGAACACUACAGGGUACCCUCUGUAUAUGGGACCUGCCAACACAGAUUGUUUGAAGCACCUGUCAACAUGAGGCAGGUGUAGUCAGACUUAAGUGGGAUCCCACUGCCCCCCUGGUAUACACUGCGUGUCUGGACGGUGUUGUGCGUCUGUGGGACGGCCGCAAUGGUCAGUGUGUCAACCAGUGGUCCGGUCACACAGACUCCAUACUGGACCUUGACUUGUCAAG